CUACACACGUGCUACAAUGGCGCAUACAAAGAGAAGCGACCUCGCGAGAGCAAGCGGACCUCAUAAAGUGCGUCGUAGUCCGGAUUGGAGUCUGCAACUCGACUCCAUGAAGUCGGAAUCGCUAGUAAUCGUGGAUCAGAAUGCCACGGUGAAUACGUUCCCGGGCCUUGUACACACCGCCCGUCACACCAUGGGAGUGGGUUGCAAAAGAAGUAGGUAGCUUAACCUUCGGGAGGGCGCUUACCACUUUGUGAUUCAUGACUGGGGUGAAGUCGUAACAAGGUAACCGUAGGGGAACCUGCGGUUGGAUCACCUCCUUA
rnacentral:ncRNA from 2 species